GGGGGAUAUUGCGCAAUGGGGGCAACCCUGACGCAGCAACGCCGCGUGAAGGAUGAAGGUUUUCGGAUUGUAAACUUCUUUUAUUAAGGACGAAAAAUGACGGUACUUAAUGAAUAAGCUCCGGCUAACUACGUGCCAGCAGCCGCGGUAAUACGUAGGGAGCAAGCGUUGUCCGGAUUUACUGGGUGUAAAGGGUGCGUAGGCGGCUUUGCAAGUCAGAUGUGAAAUCUAUGGGCUCAACCCAUAAACUGCAUUUGAAACUGUAGAGCUUGAGUGAAGUAGAGGCAGGCGGAAUUCCCCGUGUAGCGGUGAAAUGCGUAGAGAUGGGGAGGAACACCAGUGGCGAAGGCGGCCUGCUGGGCUUUAACUGACGCUGAGGCACGAAAGCGUGGGUAGCGAACAGGAUUAGAUACCCUGGUAGUCCACGCUGUAAACGAUGAUUACUAGGUGUGGGGGGUCUGACCCCUUCCGUGCCGGAGUUAACACAAUAAGUAAUCCACCUGGGGAGUACGGCCGCAAGGUUGAAACUCAAAGGAAUUGACGGGGGCCCGCACAAGCAGUGGAGUAUGUGGUUUAAUUCGAAGCAACGCGAAGAACCUUACCAGGUCUUGACAUCCAACUAACGAAGUAGAGAUACAUUAGGUGCCCUUCGGGGAAAGUUGAGACAGGUGGUGCAUGGUUGUCGUCAGCUCGUGUCGUGAGAUGUUGGGUUAAGUCCCGCAACGAGCGCAACCCUUGCUAUUAGUUGCUACGCAAGAGCACUCUAAUAGGACUGCCGUUGACAAAACGGAGGAAGGUGGGGACGACGUCAAAUCAUCAUGCCCCUUAUGACCUGGGCUACACACGUACUACAAUGGAUGUUAACAGAGGGAAGCAAGACAGCGAUGUGGAGCAAACCCCUAAAAACAUUCUCAGUUCAGAUUGCAGGCUGCAACCCGCCUGCAUGAAGAUGGAAUUGCUAGUAAUCGCGGAUCAGCAUGCCGCGGUGAAUACGUUCCCG
rnacentral:rRNA from 2 species